GGCUCAGUAAAUACUUACUGAAUUAAUGGAAUGAAAGUCUUGAGAUCAUCUCAUUAGCUGUUUUUACAUCUCUUUCCUCGUUAGGAAACGCUGACUUCUUAGAACCCAGGAUUGAGCCUGACACUCAUUGGACUCUUAAUAAGCAUCUGUUGUUGAUGUGAACUGGCUGGAUCUGUCCAGGGUCCUUAUGCCAUCCCUGGGGAAGCGUGAACCAAAGUCCCAAUGUGGGCGACUGAAAAGGGAGAAGAAAUUACAAAGUCUUUGUAAGGAUUAAAUGCCAUAAGGCAGAGCAGAAGGGAGUGGAUACCAUUGAGUCGCCAUUAUGUUCCUGGCACCACAGUGCAUAGCAGGUCCUCGAUCAACACAAGCCCUCACCUUCUACUGUACUCAAACAGAUGAAGAUCAGUCAAAAAAUACUUGUGUUGUGUACAAAGCGUUCCUCUUGGUCAUGUGUGAUACUAUGUGUACGUAGAUGUGAGCAAGCAUGACGACACCAGGUACUUCGAAUUAACAAAGAGUCAAACAAAGAGUAAAGUUGGGAUCAAGGUAGGCAAACUGCCAAAAUCAAACUAAACUUCUUUGUUAGGCUUUAUUUUGUUUUGCUUUAACUGGAUCUCUAAUCAAAUUUAUUUUUGAGUUAACUCCUAGAAAACAGGUAUUAACGCACUGAAAGCGAAUAGAUGACAUGUUAAAAUAUUUUCAAUAAUAAACCUGAAAUGGACACUGUUUUAUUACA
rnacentral:lncRNA from 1 species